GAUGAACGCUAGCGAUAGGCCUAACACAUGCAAGUCGAGGGGCAUCACAUGAAGUAGCAAUACGGAUGGUGGCGACCGGCGCACGGGUGAGUAACACGUAUGCAACCUGCCUUCAACAAGGGGAUAACCCGUUGAAAGACGGACUAAUACCCUAUAACACAGGGGUCCCGCAUGGGAAUAUUUGUUAAAGGACAACCGGUUGAAGAUGGGCAUGCGUUCCAUUAGCUAGUUGGCGGGGUAACGGCCCACCAAGGCAACGAUGGAUAGGGGAACUGAGAGGUUUAUCCCCCACACUGGUACUGAGACACGGACCAGACUCCUACGGGAGCAGCAGUGAGGAAUAUUGGUCAAUGGACGCAAGUUGAACCAGCCACGUCGCGUGAAGGAAGACGGCCCUACGGGUUGUAAACUUCUUUUGCAAGGGAAUAAAGUGGGCCACGUGUGGCCUUUUGCAAGUACCUUGCGAAUAAGGAUCGGCUAACUCCGUG
rnacentral:rRNA from 1 species